GAUGAACGCUGGCGGCGUGCUUAACACAUGCAAGUCGAACGAAGCACUUUGGACAGAUUCUUCGGAUGAAGUCCUUAGUGACUGAGUGGCGGACGGGUGAGUAACGCGUGGGUAACCUGCCUCAUACAGGGGGAUAACAGUUAGAAAUGGCUGCUAAUACCGCAUAAGCGCACGGUACUGCAUGGUACAGUGUGAAAAACUCCGGUGGUAUGAGAUGGACCCGCGUUGGGUUAGCUAGUUGGCAGGGUAACGGCCUACCAAGGCGACGAGCCAUAGCCGGCGUGAGAGGGUGGACGGACACAUUGGGACUGAGAAACGGCCCAGACUCCUACGGGAGGCAGCAGUGGGGAAUGUUGCACAAUGGGGGAAACCCUGAUGCAGCGACGCCGCGUGAGCGAAGAAGUAUUUCGGUAUGUAAAGCUCUAUCAGCAGGGAAGAAAAUGACGGAACCUGACUAAGAAGCCCCGGCUAACUACGUGCCAGCCGCCGCGGUAAUAC
rnacentral:rRNA from 1 species